AUUGGUUGUCGUCAGCUCGUGCCGUGAGGUGUCGGUUAAGUCCCAUAACGAGCGCAACCCUUAUCGUUAGUUGCCAUCUGGUAAUGCAGGGGACUCUAGCGAAACUGCCACCGUAAGGUGAGAGGAAGUGGGAUGACGUCAAAUCAGCACGGCCCUUAUGUCCAGGGCUACACACGUGUUACAAUGGUCGGUACAGAGGGCAGCUACCUGGUGACAGGAUGCUAAUCUCGAAAACCGGUCUCAGUUCGGAUCGAAGUCUGCAACUCGACUUCGUGAAGCUGGAUUCGCUAGUAAUCGCGCAUCAGCUAUGGCCGCGGUCGAAUACGUUCCCGGGCCUU
rnacentral:rRNA from 1 species